rnacentral:misc_RNA from 1 species
AAGUCGUAACAAGGUUUCCGUAGGUGAACCUGCGGAAGGAUCAUUAACACGUGUAUUACUCACGUAUUAAACUAACCGAGAACUGUUAUUCAUGUCCUAUGCGAGAACGUGGGGGAGAUUUUGAGGAUCAAUCUGGGUGUGAGAACAAGAAGGAAACUUUUUGUUCUCUGCUUCUCUUAAUCGCGCAAGGUCCGUCCUGCAGCCCAUGCCUCGUUAUAGAAGAUGCACUUCACUUCGUUAAGCGCGCACCAUCGCUUGCGAUAUGGGGUAACUUUAUUAACCCUUUUAUUUACUAUUCAUUACUGAUUUGUAUGUUUAUAUCGAAUUCCUGACUUCGCGGUCGGUUGAGUCUGAUAUAGAUGUCGUAUAUUACUAAUACGAAACAACUCUUAGCAAUGGAUAUCUUGGUUCUC